rnacentral:rRNA from 1 species
UUACCUGGGCUUGACAUGCGGCUGGAUGCCGGUCGAAAGAUCGGAGGCCUUCGAGGCUGCCGCACAGGUGCUGCAUGGCUGUCGUCAGCUCGUGCCGUGAGAUGUUGGGUUAAGUCCCGCAACGAGCGCAACCCUUGUCGUAUGUUGUCUUUUCAUACGAGACCGCCCGGGCCAACCGGGAGGAAGGUGGGGAUGACGUCUGGUCAGCAUGGCCCUUACGCCUCGGGCUACACACGUCCUACAAUGGGUAGUACAAUGGGCAGCCAAACCGUAAGGUGGAGCAAAUCCCAUCAAAACUACCCCCAGUUCGGAUAGAGGGCUGAAACUCGCCCUCUUGAAGUUGGAAUCGCUAGUAAUGGCGCGUCAGCAUAGCGCCGUGAAUACGUUCCCGGGUCUU